UCUGGCCUGCCGUUGGUUCGGGCAGGUUAGAAUGCGGUAGGGAAGAUUGCAAUUCCUAGUGUAGUGGUGGAAUGCGCAGAUAUCAGGAGGAACACCGAUGGCGAAGGCAGAUCUCUGGGCCGUAACUGACGCUGAGGAGCGAAAGCAUGGGGAGCGAACAGGAUUAGAUACCCUGGUAGUCCAUGCCGUAAACGUUGGGAACUAGAUGUAGGGCCUGUUCCACGGGUUCUGUGUCGUAGCUAACGCAUUAAGUUCCCCGCCUGGGGAGUACGGCCGCAAGGCUAAAACUCAAAGGAAUUGACGGGGGCCCGCACAAGCGGCGGAGCAUGCGGAUUAAUUCGAUGCAACGCGAAGAACCUUACCAAGGCUUGACAUAUACGAGAACGCUGUAGAGAUACAGAACUCUUUGGACACUCGUAAACAGGUGGUGCAUGGUUGUCGUCAGCUCGUGUCGUGAGAUGUUCGGUUAAGUCCGGCAACGAGCGCAACCCUCGUCCUAUGUUGCCAGCACGUUAUGGUGGGAACUCAUGGGAUACUGCCGUGGUCAACACGGAGGAAGGUGGGGAUGACGUCAAAUCAUCAUGCCCCUUAUGUCUUGGGCUUCACGCAUGCUACAAUGGCCGAUACAAAGGGCUGCGAUACCGCGAGGUGGAGCGAAUCCCAAAAAGUCGGUCUCAGUUCGGAUUGGGGUCUGCAACUCGACCCCAUGAAGUCGGAGUCGCUAGUAAUCGCAGAUCAGCAACGCUGCGGUGAAUACGUUCCCGGGCCUUGUACACACCGCCCGUCAAGUCAUGAAAGUCGGUAACACCCGAAGCCGGUGGCCUAACCUUUUGGAGGGAGCCGUCGAA
rnacentral:rRNA from 1 species